GGAAGUAAAAGUCGUAACAAGAUUUCCGUAGGUGAACCUGCGGAAGGAUCAUUAUUGUAUAACCGAGGUGCUAGGGCUGUCGCUGACCCGAAAGGUCGUGCACGCCCGAGUGCCCUCACACACAUCCAUCUCACCCCUAUGUGCACCACCGCGUGGGUCCCCCUUUGGCUUGUUCGGAGGGGGGCUUACGUUUUCACACAAACUUUGUAUGCAGUGUAGAAUGUAUUUUUUGUUUUUGCGAUCACGCAAUCAAUACAACUUUCAACAACGGAUCUCUUGGCUCUC
rnacentral:misc_RNA from 1 species